GACUUACGUUGGAAUGGACCUUACAGACCAUCCAAUUCCAACCCCCUGCCAUGGGCAGGAUUGCCAACCACCAGGGCAGGCUGCCCAGGGCCCCAUCUAACCUGGCCAUGAAGCUUGCUCUGAGAAGCAUCGCAAGUAAAUCUCCACCAUCCUGUCCUCGUUGGCACUUUGCUUUCUACUAAACUCUGGCAAAACCAUAUGCCACACUGGCAAAGCUGGAAGAGAAAGAAAUGGAAGAGAGUAAUCAGCACACAGUGAGCAGUACGGCUGCUUCCUUCCACCUGCCAGCUCCAUGCUGACCCCAGCAGCCAUGGGUGAUGAGUAUUUCAUGACCCACCGCCCUCUCAUUCACCAGAAGAAAAUGGAGAAGUAAUUGCCAGGGCACACCUGCAGCUGGAGGAUAAGUCAUUGCCCUGGGUCUGCUGAGUCAGAAGAACUGAAACAGCCACUGAAGCCAGAAAAUGAGCAUUCUUGUACAAUCCAGAGCUGAUGUCCAGACAGGAAAUAGAAAUGGACUUUGGAAUAAAAGUUAACAAUUGCAAAUGAAUAAAAAUGGGAGCAACACUACCAGAAGCCCUUCAUCCUGAUGAUGUCAUGGUUCCCAAAUGCCCUUCAGAAAUGCAAAUUGCCUACAAUGUAAUAAAAAGGGCAUUUUCUAGAGUG